UUUGAGGUAUGUCCGGUGUCGAACUUUGCCGUACGGAGCUGGCGAGACUUGCCGAAAGAAUGUACGGUGGACACGUAAAAAAAAAAUAAUACCAGCUUUGAACCCCUUCAAUUCCUAGAAGGUCCUAACCCCCAAAAAAUCAUUUAAGUGGGUCCUGCUCUAAUUCAUUACCUUUCAUUUGAGCUAUGUCCGGUGUCGAAUUUUGCCGUACGGAGCUGGCGAGACUUGCCGAAAGAAUGUACGGUGGACACGUAAAAAAAAAUAAUACCAACUUUGAACCCCUUCAAUUCCUAGAAGGUCCUAACCCCCAAAAAAUCAUUUGAGUGGGUCCUGCUCUGAUUCAUUACCUUUCAUUUGAGCUAUGUCCGGUGUCGAACUUUGCCGUACGGAGCUGGCGAGACUUGCCGAAAGAAUGUACGGUGGACACGUAAAAAAAAAAAUAAUACCAGCUUUGAACCCCUUCAAUUCCUAGAAGGUCCUAACCCCCAAAAAAUCAUUUAAGUGGGUCCUGCUCUGAUUCAUUACCUUUCAUUUGAGCUAUGUCCGGUGUCGAACUUUGCCGUACGGAGCUGGCGAGACUUGCCGAAAGAAUGUACGGUGGACACGUAAAAAAAAAAUAAUACCAGCUUUGAACCCCUUCAAUUCCUAGAAGGUCCUAACCCCCAAAAAAUCAUUUAAGUGGGUCCUGCUCUGAUUCAUUACCUUUCAUUUGAGCUAUGUCCGGUGUCGAAUUUUGCCGUACAGAGCUGGCGAGACUUGCCGAAAGAAUGUACGGUGGACACGUAAAAAAAAAAAUAA